UUCCAGAGGAAAGAGUUAAGAUUUAUAACUUCCGGUCUGCUACACCAGCUUCGUGGAAGAUGGCUCCUGCUACGGUCGGAAUAUGAUCCGGAGGAUACCAGUGAAAAUCAAUCACGCCUGCCAUUCAUGAGACUCAACCCUGAUGGUCCUGAUUUCUGAACUCCUCCUCACCAAGAGUAAAUAUCUCUACAGGUAUCCCAUUCACGUGCAUCGGUUUUCCUUCAGGAUGUACGGACGUAGAUUUCAUCCUGUAAUUCAAAUGGGUUGUGGACUACUCAAUGUUACCAAAAAUUGUGCACCGGGUACUUAACCCUCCUGGCGUCUGCAUGAGCAGGGACAAGUUUGGGUUUUCAUUUGACGAAGGAUCCUGAAAAACCUCUGGUUCCGGUCUGCGGUUUUCAGGAAGACACGUGUAGCUUUUCGGGUGGUCCAUGGUUCCUAGAUUGGUCCUCGGAUUCUGCCAAGAUUAAAAAGGAGAUUGACUAACUGGACAUCAUCAUCUUUUCUGAGGAACAUUACCCAAAGCUCAAAAUAGGCUGCCAGCUAUCUUCUUAGUCCUGAUCCCUUCGUAUUUUGGGAUUGGUCCAGAUACUUGAGGUUGUCGCACGAAACGUCACGAGAGCUCAGAAACUCUCGAGGCUGAGGAGGUAAUGGUAAACAGCAGCCCUAAUUUCUUUAUCUCUGAAGGGUGGCCCCGAUUUCGAGCCUCCACUUUCAACCCUUAAACUACGAGAGCUCCUACUGAGACUGUGUCCUCAAUAAAUUAACAUGAGUGUCUCGUCCUGGGUAACCUAUGACCACCAUACG